UUACGGCCACACCACACUGGCACACCAGUUCUCAUACGGCCACAAAAGUUAAGCAAUGUUGAGCCUGGUCAGUACCUAGAUAGGUGACUGUUUGGGAAUACUAG